CCUACGGGGGGCAGCAGUGAGGAAUAUUGGUCAAUGGGCGAGAGCCUGAACCAGCCAAGUCGCGUGAGGGAGUACUGCCCUAUGGGUUGUAAACCUCUUUUGUCGGGGAGCAAAAGCCGGACGUGUCCGGCUGUGAGAGUACCCGAAGAAACAGCAUCGGCUAACUCCGUGCCAGCAGCCGCGGUAAUACGGAGGAUGCGAGCGUUAUCCGGAUUUAUUGGGGUUAAAGGGUGCGCAGGCGGAUUUUUAAGUCAGCGGUCAAAUCGUGGGGCUCAACCCCAUCCAGCCGUUGAAACUGGGGAUCUAGAGUGUGCGAGAGGUAUGCGGAAUGCGUGGUGUAGCGGUGAAAUGCAUAGAUAUCACGCAGAACCCCGAUUGCGAAGGCAGCAUACCGGUGCACAACUGACGCUCAGGCACGAAAGCGUGGGUAUCGAACAGGAUUAGAUACCCGGGUAGUC
rnacentral:rRNA from 1 species